UCUACCCUUGGGGGCCUACGAGCACAGAAGCCGCGGAUCUCUCUCCUCUCAGGCUUCCGCAAGUCGCUUGUUUUCUUUUUUUUUUGCCUCUGAAAGCGGCAGAGGCGGCUGUGGAAAGCAGUAGUAGCGCGAGUGGUCCUUUCAAGGUGCUCCUUGUCUUGCCUCCAUAUUUCUCCGUCCCUGACGAGGCACGGUGCCGGAGCACACUCUUGCUUGCCCUGUCGCCUCCGUGCAUGCGCAAGCACAGACGCACUUACACACUCCGCCAGCUGCUGAAUCUGCACGCUUUCCAGCCCCGCUGCCGUCCUCCGCCUCCCGCCCAAUUCAGAAACACUCGCCGAACCACGUGAGCGGCUCUGGUGGGCACACGCCCACGGAGGAAGAAGGCUCCGGUACGUCAUCCACGCAGGCCAACGAUAGCAGCCAAGCAAGCGCCUAAAAAAAAAGGCAUGCGCCGCGCUCCGUCAUUUUAUGCCGCCUGCCUUCGACCCAUUCAUCGCCUUCAUCUUUCACGUCGUCAGAUUGCGGUUACACAUGCAUACUUCGUCGCCACCGCAACGGGUGCUGCGGCAGCGUCGCAGAUGACUGAGUCACGCGCGAUAUACGCCCAUGCCAGGAGUAGUCCUCCAGGCGCUCAAGGCCAGACGGACAUCAUUGCGGAGGCGACGUCUGUGGCCGUUGUAGACACCAACGCCUCUGCCUCUACCAAUGCCACCGCUUUCACGGCCCAAGCCACACACAUCUCUGACUCUUCGCCAUCGGCGACGGCUCCGCAGCCUGCGUGGACAGUGGAGCAGGUGUACGCCAUUCUGCGGAAGCAUGAGUCCCUUUGCAACCGCAUUCUCCUCCUCUCCUCCGCGCCGCUGAGCAUGGGACUUGCGGCAUCUCCCCUGCCCGCAGCUGUGGAGACCGCCGUGGAGGGCCUCGACACCGUGUCUCACAGCCCCCAUCACGUGUCCACUCGACGCGGCCCCCACGCGAAUGCCGCGGCGGUGCGAGAUAUUCGAGUGCUGCUGGACCACCUCUCGCAGGCCCCUCAGCGACUGGGUGCACUCCACGAAAAGCAACGCCACCGCCUCGUGACGAAGGUGUGCUGUCUUGGGUACGCCGUAGGCCUGUAUAGUCGGUGCUGUGCACUCUAUGCGGACACGGUACUGCUUGCGCGCGGCGCCAGCGACGGCGGUCGUAACAGAGAGCCAGGCGCACUGCUAGAGUCAUCUCUCUCCCACGAACACGCCCUCAGAUCCUCGGAGGCGUUGUUGCCCACCGUUGCCGUCAGGGCUCCUUCUUCGGUUCCCGACUUUAUUAUCGACGCCGCCGGUAAAGCGGCUGACUUGACGACGCUGCGUCUGUGCCUCCCCCACGACGUACACGCGUCGCCGGCAGAGGCGAGCGCUACUGCAUCCCUGAUCUCGCUCACAGCACUGCAUGUUUAUGCGCAGUGCGUGGGUGUUCUUCUCCGCCACGGUUGGGGAGGUUGUCUGGCAUCAACAGCGACAGAUAUCGGCGUGCGCACCGCCGUUGCAGACGGCGGGGUGCCACAUGAGAGCUGUGAUGCUGAUGAAGGUAUUCCGGCAGACCCAGUCAUCAGCUCCACCGCAGUGACACGCAAUGCAGCAACUGCUGCGGCGGCGGCCGCUGCCUCACUGACGACGAGGAUGUCCCCGACCAUCGCGCCCGCGGAGGCCUCUGGAGAGCAGGCCUGGCGUGACUUUGCUUUGACGGUGCUGCGGCACCUCCGCAUAGACGACGCCGACGCAGCAGACUUUCUCCGCACGUCCCUGCGGAGAGCAAGCUACCGCUACGCGGACACAGGCGGGGACUGGGCUGCCGCCCAAUCCUCCGUCUACGCCCAGAUCUUCCGCUAUUGGCUCGCAGAAGAGGAAGCAGUGGCGAACACUCUCUUGGCUCGCCAAGGACUGCCACAACACGACAGCGAAGUCGAUGGCGAGGCGGACGGGGAGCACCGGCGCAUUUCCGUGAGAACAACGUCUUCCGAAAAGCAGCGCGUAUCCGCUCCUGUGCUGCUUACUGUUCCCGCCCUCCUGACGCUGCUGCGUACCGCUGUGGUGGCUCACCAGCACGACAUCGCGGAGUGGGCUACGCUGUGCGUUGAUGCGUGUCUGGAAGAGUGGGCACGUGCUUCAAAGGUGGCCGCCGCAGGUGCGAGCAAGGGCAGGCAGCAUGAUGGGUUCGACGCCGCUGCUCAUCGCAUUGCCGCUCCACUGCCUCCCAUGGACAACCCCUCUGCGCAGUCGCUGCCGCAGCUCGACACACUACUCGCCUGGUACCUUCGGUACCUACAACAGUCGAGUCAGCGCCCACGAGCCGUUCGCUGGCUGUCCCGUCUUCGCCGGCGUCAAUCCACCGUGCCAAUCCUCUCUAGUGCGCUGGCGACGCUGCCCGUUGCUCGCGAGGCAGCCCGGCUUGCCAGUGACGAGCUCGACGCCGAACUGGCGAUGUGGUGUCUGCAGCUCUGUCUGGGCGGCACGACACCCGCCCUCUCCCCUGGGCAUGCUGACAUCUUUCAGUGCCUCUGCGCCUACGCCCGCUGCGGGCUGCCAAACUUCGAUAUGGUGCUGCAGUCCUUACGCAUGAAUGAGCUGCUCGCGCCGACGCCGGAGGAGUUGCUCUUUGUGCGCCUCCUGCACGCCCGCCGCUCCGUCAACUGGCGCACCGAGUGGGAGCACUGCGUGGCUCCCUACAUCGUGGAGGAUGGGGAGGAGGAGUUACAGAAGUCGGAUGGAGAACGGGUCGACGUGAAGGUCAGCGGUGAGACACAAGGCGGCGUCCGCGCAACCACGCGGCCUCCGUCGCGGAGAGUCACACUGCGAAUGGUUGAACCUGCGCAGUCGCGCGAGGGUGCACCGUCAAGCUGGCCCAUGUGCACGGGUGUGGACGAGUCGCUGGAGGCGACCGGCGGCGGUCGCGUGCCAUCGAGUGAGUCGCGGGUGUCCUCUACACAGCGGCCCACGGCACUCUCCUCGGUGUUCUCCUCUCGGGUCAUCUAUCAGCUCCUCCUGAUCCUGCAGGAAGGUGAGCAUCCUGCCUUCAUGUCCUACUAUCGCGCCCUCCUGCUCACCUUCAGCGAGCACGUCACUCCGCAAGAUCGCGCGCGGUGGGUGGUGCUGGCGCUCAUGUGGGCCAUCCAGCUCCACGGCAGCGCGCGGAGCGAGGACGUGGUGUAUAUUGCGCGAGAGGUGGAGCAACUCUGCGAGUUGCAGCAGACGCACACCCACGCCGCCACCGCGUCAUCUCUCCCCCUCUCCCCGGAGGUCUGGCACAGCCUCAGUCGCAAAUGGACGACGCUCUACCAGCAGUACCCCCUGUCCCUAUGGCACCGUGCCGCAGCGACGGAGGCAGGCAGUGGAAGUGACACGCGGCACGGCUGUCCGCUGCGUCGACUCCAAUGCACACCGAGCGCAGGGCUCUUGGCGGCCACACCGGCGCUCACCCGCUUUGCGAAACGGCGGCAUCUGCUACCGUCCGCCGUGGUCUCCGCGACGGAGCUGCUGCGCAAGUCUCGGCGCGUCAGUUCUGAAGUGAAGAUUACGGAAAGGUACAGUGACGGUGAUGCAGCCGUGGUGCACUGGCCCCCGCGAGAAGGUGCGGAUUUUGAGUCGUGGGCAAACUACGUGGGGACCGUGCGGCGGUUCUAGAAGAUGGCACACGAGCGAUGGCAUCAGAGAAGGUGCGGAAGAAACGUGCGGGGUGUAGAAGCGGCGAAAGGGCGCACCGACUGUUUCUUGAGAGGGAAAGGCCGAUCUCAACUUCACUGUCUUUCCCUAACGUCCUCCAUCUGUCCUGCUACGCCCUUGUCCGCACCCUGCGGCGGCGAGUGGAUGUAAG
rnacentral:misc_RNA from 1 species